UUUUAGCCCGGAUAGAAACGGCAUCCUUUAGUUUUUUGCCGGAGCGAAGCUCCGGCAAAAAACUAAAGAUAGAGUGGAUAGCCGGAAACAGC
rnacentral:sRNA from 1 species